ensembl:lncRNA
GGCACCAGGCACCGCUUUGCUCCAGCACGGCUCGGGCUGGGCUGUGGCAGCAGCGCCCCGAGGCCACAUGGCACCGACCGGGACAGUGCCUGCCUUGUCGCUGUCCCCUCGAGGCAGGCAGUGGUGGCCGGGCCACAGUCCCCGCUCUUCUCCUCCCUUCUGGGCGGGGAGAGUGGUCAGGAGAUAAAAGGGGGACCAGGGCCAGCUGGAAGUUGCUGAAAACUGCUGGGGCCCGGAGCGAAGGAGGACGGCAGCGAGGAGAAGUGCGGGCCAGGGUCCAGGAUGGGGCUGUUGGUGCUGGCCCUGGCCACCUGGCUGGGGCUGGGGCUGGCCUCGGCCUCUGAGGAGACGGCCAACAGCAGCCGGAUCUGCCAGGAGGCGCCGGCAUGGACCAUCAACGGCUCGAGCCCCAUGGAGGGGGCGGCAGGGCAGGUGACGGUGGUGGCCCUGCUGAAGGCCAGCUGACAGUUCUGCCUGAGGCAGGCCCACAGCCUCGGGGGCCUGCGGGAGCGGCUGGCCCGGCAGGGCAUGGCCCAUGUCCGCUACAUGAUCGUCAACGAGAAGGCGCCGCUGUCCCGCGCCAUGCUGCCCGAGCUGCAGCGCCAUGCCCCGCCCGGCGUCCCCGUCUUCCAGCCCGAGCCGGAGGACCCUGACGUCUGGCAGGUCCUGGGGGGUGACAAGGACGACUUCCUUGUUUAUGACCGGUGUGGCCGCCUGGCUUUCCACAUCCAGUUGCCCUUCAGCUUCCUCCACUUCCCCUAUGUGGAGGCAGCCAUCCGCUCCAGCCACAUCAAGGACUUCUGUGGCAACUGCUCCCUGUACCCCAACACUACCCAGGAGGCUAACAGCACCAUGGAGGGCCCUGCAACCCCAAGCUCCCUUCCUGAACACGAGGGGAUGGAGUCAGAGACCCCCGUCCACCAGCACAAGCCCCUCCAUCCUCAACGCCAUCACGAGGUCAACAGCGAGAGGGACACAAACCCAAGUGAGGACCACAAACCUGCUACCCAUGCUCACCACCACCAUGGAGACCAUGGCCAGCUCCAUCACAAGGGGAGGAAGCAGAAGGAGGGGGAUGAGCAUUAAACCAGGCUGGGCAGCCUUGCAGAACCCAGUAGUGUGCAGAUGACCCCAGCUCGCUUCACAGAGGCAUGGAAGGACUUGCUUUGGGCUGCUGGUCACCAGCAGCACUGGUUUAACAACUCCCUCCAGCAGACCUCAUGUGGGCUGCCCUCCUAGGCUGUGAUAGAGAUGGAAAUUCCCCUUGGACCCUGCUCAGUGCUGCGUUUUCAGCCCCAGGGCUCAGUUCUGAGCCUUCAUCUGCCACUGCCUGCCUUUCUGUGCUCAAUGAAGCCCGCUGUGCAAACCAGGAGGUCCCUGGUCACUGCUGGCUGACACCGCACAGAGCAGCGGGGUGGGGGUGGAGGGGCCAGAGCUGGGAUGGGAGCAGCACUGCCGGCAUCCUCUGCCCAGCUGGGAUGGGAUGGGAGCAGCACUGCCGGCAUCCUCUGCCCGAUCUGGGAUGGGAGCAGCACUGCCGGCAUCCUCUGCCCAUCCAGAUACUCCUGGGUGUGCUGGAAUCCCCGAGUUUCCUGGCCAGGGAGCGAGGGGAGGGACAGCGUGUGCCCGGCAGGACAUGGUCCGGGGGACUGAGGGCACGAAGAGCGGUGGGAUGUGGCAGCUCGCCACGGUCCAAGCCCUGUAGCCCCGUGUGUGACCGUGCGCUCGGGUGGGUGUGUGCAGUGGUGCUGGUGGCCGCAAGAUGGUGGCCUUGUCCCCUCCUGGAGAUCCAGGGGCCGAAUCAAUGGGCACCGCUCGGGGAGGACAGGGUGAGGGUGCGGAGGUCUUUCCUGGGGGUGAGCGGGGUGGGAGGGCAGCGCGGGUAUCCGGAGUGCGAAUAAAACC